GACGAACGCUGGCGGCGUGCUUAACACAUGCAAGUCGAACGGAAAGGCCCUGCUUUUGUGGGGUGCUCGAGUGGCGAACGGGUGAGUAACACGUGAGUAACCUGCCCUUGACUUUGGGAUAACUUCAGGAAACUGGGGCUAAUACCGGAUAGGAGCUCCUGCUGCAUGGGGGGGGUUGGAAAGUUUCGGCGGUUGGGGAUGGACUCGCGGCUUAUCAGCUUGUUGGUGGGGUAGUGGCUUACCAAGGCUUUGGCGGGUAGCCGGCCUGAGAGGGUGACCGGCCACAUUGGGACUGCGAUACGGCCCAGACUCCUACGGGAGGCAGCAGUGGGGAAUAUUGCACAAUGGGCGGAAGCCUGAUGCAGCAACGCCGCGUGCGGGAUGACGGCCUUCGGGUUGUAAACCGCUUUCGCCUGUGACGAAGCGUGAGUGACGGUAAUGGGUAAAGAAGCACCGGCUAACUACGUG
rnacentral:rRNA from 1 species